UGGGGAAUUUUGGACAAUGGGGGCAACCCUGAUCCAGCAAUGCCGCGUGUGUGAAGAAGGCCUUCGGGUUGUAAAGCACUUUUGUCCGGAAAGAAAACGUCGUGGUUAAUACCCCGUGGCGGCUGACGGUACCGGAAGAAUAAGCACCGGCUAACUACGUGCCAGCAGCCGCGGUAAUACGUAGGGUGCAAGCGUUAAUCGGAAUUACUGGGCGUAAAGCGUGCGCAGGCGGUCCGCUAAGACAGAUGUGAAAUCCCCCGGGCUUAACCUGGGAACUGCAUUUGUGACUGGCGGGCUAGAGUAUGGCAGAGGGGGGUAGAAUUCCACGUGUAGCAGUGAAAUGCGUAGAGAUGUGGAGGAAUACCGAUGGCGAAGGCAGCCCCCUGGGCCAAUACUACGCUCAUGCACGAAAAGCGUGGGGAGCAAACAGGAUUAGAUACCCUGGUAGUCCACGCCCUAAACGAUGUCAACUAGUUGUCGGGUCUUCAUUGACUUGGUAACGUAGC
rnacentral:rRNA from 1 species